AGAGUUUGAUCCUGGCUCAGGAUGAACGCUGGCGGCGUGCCUAACACAUGCAAGUCGAGCGAGAAAUAAAGAAAUGAAGCUUCGGUAGAUUUUCUUUAUGGAAAGCGGCGGACGGGUGAGUAACGCGUAGGCAACCUGCCCUGUACAGGGGGAUAGCCACCCGAAAAGGUGAUUAAUACCCCAUAACGCAAGAGAUACACAUGUAUCACUUGUCAAAGAUUUAUCGGUAUAGGAUGGGCCUGCGUCUGAUUAGCUAGUUGGUAGGGUAACGGCUUACCAAGGCAACGAUCAGUAGCCGACCUGAGAGGGUGAUCGGCCACAUUGGAACUGAGACACGGUCCAAACUCCUACGGGAGGCAGCAGUGGGGAAUAUUGCACAAUGGGCGCAAGCCUGAUGCAGCAACGCCGCGUGAAGGAUGAAGGCCUUCGGGUUGUAAACUUCUGUCCUAGGGGAAGAAACAAAUGACAUUACCCUUGGAGGAAGCCCCGGCUAACUACGUGCCAGCAGCCGCGGUAAUACGUAGGGGGCGAGCGUUAUCCGGAAUUAUUGGGCGUAAAGAGUGCGUAGGUGGCACCUUAAGCGCAGGGUUUAAGGCAAUGGCUCAACCAUUGUUCGCCUUGCGAACUGGGGUGCUUGAGUGCAGGAGGGGAAAGUGGAAUUCCUAGUGUAGCGGUGAAAUGCGUAGAUAUUAGGAGGAACACCAGUGGCGAAGGCGACUUUCUGGACUGUUACUGACACUGAGGCACGAAAGCGUGGGGAGCAAACAGGAUUAGAUACCCUGGUAGUCCACGCCGUAAACGAUGAGCACUAGGUGUCGGGGUCGCAAGACUUCGGUGCCGCAGUUAACGCAUUAAGUGCUCCGCCUGGGGAGUACGCACGCAAGUGUAAAACUCAAAGGAAUUGACGGGGACCCGCACAAGCAGCGGAGCAUGUGGUUUAAUUCGAAGCAACGCGAAGAACCUUACCAGGGCUUGACAUCCUGCUGACAGGACCUUAACCGGUCCCUUCUUCGGACAGCAGAGACAGGUGGUGCAUGGUUGUCGUCAGCUCGUGUCGUGAGAUGUUGGGUUAAGUCCCGCAACGAGCGCAACCC
rnacentral:rRNA from 1 species